GAUGAACGCUGGCGGCGUGCCUAAUACAUGCAAGUCGAACGAAACUUCUUUAUCACCGAGUGCUUGCACUCACCGAUAAAGAGUUGAGUGGCGAACGGGUGAGUAACACGUGGGCAACCUGCCCAAAAGAGGGGGAUAACACUUGGAAACAGGUGCUUAUACCGCAUAACCAUAGAUACCGCACGGUAACUAUGUAAAAGGUGGCUAUACUACCGCUUGUGGAUGGGCCCGCGGCGCAUUAGCUAGUUGGUAGGGUAAAGGCUUACCAAGGCAAUGAUGCGUAGCCGAAUUGAGAGGUUGAUCGGCCACACUGGGACUGAGACACGGCCCAAACUCCUACGGGAGGCAGCAGUAGGGAAUCUUCCACAAUGGGCGAAAGCCUGAUGGAGCAACGCCGCGUGGGUGAAGAAGGUCUUCGGAUCGUAAAACCCUGUUGUUAGAGAAGAAAGUGCGUGAGAGUAACUGUUCACGUUUCGACGGUAUCUAACCAGAAAGCCACGGCUAACUACGUG
rnacentral:rRNA from 1 species